UUACGGCCAUAUCACGUUGAAACAUUGGUUCCGGUAUGAUCACCGAAGCUAAGAAACGUCGAGCCUGGUCAGCACCUAAAUAGUUGACCGCUUGGGAAUACCAGGUUGUGU